CGGCCACCGGUCACCGGCCACGCGGCGGCCGGGAGUCAAGUGCUUUCACGUGAACUCUCGAUGUUUUUCACUAGUUCACGCAUUUGCCAGGAAACGCCUAUCUUGGCAAGAUAACCUGGAGGAACCUACACAUGGGAGCACACACACACUAAGGCAAAAACCUCUAAAAAAGUUUUUUUUUGGUUAUCAUGUGAUAAUCAUGAAGAUGGAGCAAAAGGUGACCUCAUGGACUAAAGAAGGAGAGGAAGACUAAGCAGACUUGUCCCAGAACAGAGCCUGGCACAGAGUUUGUGUCAACACUUAUUUGUCAAGAGGUGACCCAGAGAGACACAGACCGAGAACCAGGAAAUUGGAUGGGACUCGAGGCCUUGAACUGAUUUCAGGACCAGC